GAUGAACGCUGCCGGCGUGCCUAAUACAUGCAAGUCGAGCGAACGGACGAGAAGCUUGCUUCUCUGAUGUUAGCGGCGGACGGGUGAGUAACACGUGGAUAACCUACCUAUAAGACUGGGAUAACUUCGGGAAACCGUAGCUAAUACCGGAUAAUAUUUUGAACCGCAUGGUUCAAAAGUGAAAGACGGUCUUGCUGUCACUUAUAGAUGGAUCCGCGCUGCAUUAGCUAGUUGGUAAGGUAACGGCUUACCAAGGCAACGAUGCAUAGCCGACCUGAGAGGGUGAUCGGCCACACUGGAACUGAGACACGGUCCAGACUCCUACGGGAGGCAGCAGUAGGGAAUCUUCCGCAAUGGGCGAAAGCCUGACGGAGCAACGCCGCGUGAGUGAUGAAGGUCUUCGGAUCGUAAAACUCUGUUAUUAGGGAAGAACAUAUGUGUAAGUAACUGUGCACAUCUUGACGGUACCUAAUCAGAAAGCCACGGCUAACUACGUG
rnacentral:rRNA from 1 species